rnacentral:rRNA from 1 species
CAAGAGCGUAUGUAAAAGUUGUUGCAGUUAAAAAGCUCGUAGUUGAACCUUGGGUUUGGUUGGCCGGUCCGCUUUUUUGCGAGUACUGGAUUCAACCGAGCCUUUCCUUCUGGCUAACCAGUCGUUUCGGCGGCUGGCGAACCAGGAUUUUUACUUUGAGAAAAUUAGAGUGUUCAAAGCAGGCAUUAGCUUGAAUAUAUUAGCAUGGAAUAAUAGAAUAGGACGUUAUGGUUCUAUUUUGUUGGUUUCUAGGACCAUCGUAAUGAUUAAUAGGGACGGUCGGGAGCAUCAGUAUUCAGUUGUCAGAGGUGAAAUUCUUGGAUUUACUGAAGACUAACUACUGCGAAAGCAUUUGCCAAGGACGUUUUCAUUAA